GGGUGCUUGAGGCUGUCUGUCUCAAGCAUUUUGCAAAAGGCAGAUAGUAGAAAGCCCCGAAUGAACGUUAAAUUCAAACGAGGCUCACUAUAUGUAUCCAGACAAUACAAAUAGUAGUCUCUUUCUCGAUAAGGAGCAAUGCUAUGCCAAACAAAAAUG
rnacentral:antisense_RNA from 1 species